rnacentral:rRNA from 1 species
UUGACAUCCAGAGAACUUGGCAGAGAUGCCCUGGUGCCUUCGGGAACUCUGAGACAGGUGCUGCAUGGCUGUCGUCAGCUCGUGUUGUGAAAUGUUGGGUUAAGUCCGCAACGAGCGCAACCCCUAUCCUUUGUUGCCAGCGAUUCGGUCGGGAACUCAAAGGAGACUGCCGGUGAUAAACCGGAGGAAGGUGGGGAUGACGUCAAGUCAUCAUGGCCCUUACGAGUAGGGCUACACACGUGCUACAAUGGCGCAUACAAAGAGAAGCGACCUCGCGAGAGCAAGCGGACCUCAUAAAGUGCGUCGUAGUCCGGAUCGGAGUCUGCAACUCGACUCCGUGAAGUCGGAAUCGCUAGUAAUCGUAGAUCAGAAUGCUACGGUGAAUACGUUCCCGGGCCUUGUACACACCGCCCGUCACACCAUGGGAGUGGGUUGCAAAAGAAGUAGAUAGCUUAACCUUCGGGAGGGCGUUUACCACUUUGUGAUUCAUGACUGGGGUGAAGUCGUAACAAGGUAAGCGUAGACGU